rnacentral:rRNA from 1 species
AUUGAACGCUGGCGGAAUGCUUUACACAUGCAAGUCGAACGGCAGCACGGACUUCGGUCUGGUGGCGAGUGGCGAACGGGUGAGUAAUGUAUCGGAACGUGCCCAGUCGUGGGGGAUAACGUAGUGAAAAUUACGCUAAUACCGCAUACGAUCUAUGGAUGAAAGCGGGGGAUCGCAAGACCUCGCGCGAUUGGAGCGGCCGAUAUCGGAUUAGGUAGUUGGUGGGGUAAAGGCCCACCAAGCCAACGACCUGUAGCUGGUCUGAGAGGACGACCAGCCACACUGGAACUGAGACACGGUCCAGACUCCUACGGGAGGCAGCAGUGGGGAAUUUUGGACAAUGGGCGAAAGCCUGAUCCAGCCAUUCCGCGUGCAGGAUGAAGGCCCUCGGGUUGUAAACUGCUUUUGUACAGAACGAAAAGGUUUCUACUAAUACUAGGAGCUCAUGACGGUACUGUAAGAAUAAGCACCGGCUAACCACGUGCCAGCAGCCGCAGUAA